AUAGGUAUAAAUUCAGCAGUCCCCAAACACACCCAAUAUGCUACAAAGACAGCUAGAGAAAGAGGCUACAGUGGAUGGCCUGAUACAGCCAGUCAUACCCCGCAGGAACUCGCUGAAGCUGGUUUCUUUUAUGCAGGUUUUGUUGACUGUGUCCGGUGCUUUUACUGUGGGAUAGGACUACGUCACUGGACCAAAGAUGACACUCCUUGGAUAGAGCAUGCCAGCUGGUCUCGUAACUGUGUGUUUGUGAAACAGAAGAAAGGGGAGGAGUUUGUUAACCUUGUCCAACUUGCUGUUCACUACUCCCAAGAU